AAUGACGGUGCCAGUGAGUCUGGAAAUCUGGCCUGAAAGGGUUGGGAAAAUAUUUUAAAACCGUCGUGACUGGGAUCGCGGUUUGUAAUUAUUCCUCGUGAAC
rnacentral:ncRNA from 1 species